GCCUUGGGCCCAAACCCAAAGACCACUAACUAAACCUAGUAUUGGAAGGAAGUGACAACCCUAAUUCUCAUUCUGUUACAGUAGCCGCACAUUGCAAGAUUGCUCCCUCUCGUCUCUGUCUCUUCGUCUGCACUUUUAUUACAAAAAAAAAGAAACCUCACAACACAGACAAACACCCUCAUUACUCUCCUGUCCCUCCCAUCGUUCAUGUUCAUGUUCCGGCGACCGGAAUAACCGGCGACUGUCCGCGUAGUUCUCUGACAACAGCCGCACCCCCAGCUGAUGGUAACCGUUUCUCACACACACCCCCAUCUCGAAGAACAGGAGAGAGAGUGAAACAGAGUGAGAAGGAAAGGGAAGCACGGCAGCGGCGCCGCCGCUCACGACGGCGACAGUGGAGGCGACAGUGGUGGUUGAGGCUCCUCCGACGAGUUGCUCAAGUUCCGAUGAAGAUUGAUUAUGGUAAUGGAGACCGACGACAGUGAUGAUGAUGAAGUUCUGGUUCGGGUUGGGCACCGUCAACUGGUCAGCGAUUCAAGAAUGGUUCAGAUCUGGUUCGAAUUCCGGGUCACGUUACGCUUGGUUCCGUCAACAGCAGGUGGUUCCGUUCCAGUUCGAAUCUCGGUUCAGGCUCUGAGAUGAUGACUGGAGAAACCGCGGCGGUUCUUUUACGUGUUCGACAAUAAUCGCUUUGUUCGUUCUCUUGGAUUUUCUCAACCUUUACUUGUGCGAUAAUUCAAAGGAUUCUCAUACGCAACCAAUGUUGACGAUUUAAAGAAAGAUGCCCGGAAUCUAGUAGGAUUUGCCUAGAAACGAAUUUAAACUUUAAUGCUUAUUAUAUUGUAUUUUACUUCCAAACUUGAUGGAUUUGGUAUCUAAAUCAUGUACUACAUUACAUAAAUGAAAUGAAGGUUUAUUAUUUGACUA